AUUGAACGCUGGCGGCAUGCCUUACACAUGCCAGUCGAACGGCAGCACGGGUGCUUGCACCUGGUGGCGAGUGGCGAACGGGUGAGUAAUACAUCGGAACAUGUCCUGUAGUGGGGGAUAGCCCGGCGAAAGCCGGAUUAAUACCGCAUACGAUCUACGGAUGAAAGCGGGGGACCUUCGGGCCUCGCGCUAUAGGGUUGGCCGAUGGCUGAUUAGCUAGUUGGUGGGGUAAAGGCCUACCAAGGCGACGAUCAGUAGCUGGUCUGAGAGGACGACCAGCCACACUGGGACUGAGACACGGCCCAGACUCCUACGGGAGGCAGCAGUGGGGAAUUUUGGACAAUGGGUGAAAGCCUGAUCCAGCAAUGCCGCGUGUGUGAAGAAGGCCUUCGGGUUGUAAAGCACUUUUGUCCGGAAAGAAAUCCUUGGCCCUAAUACGGUCGGGGGAUGACGGUACCGGAAGAAUAAGCACCGGCUAACUACGUG
rnacentral:rRNA from 1 species